UUUUAUACACAAGCAGUAAUGAUGGUGAUUAAAGUGGGUUGGUUUCAAAUAACAUCAAUGAAAUAAGCAUGUAUAAUUUACCCCAUUGAAAUAAUUUUGAAAGUGCUUAUGCUAACAAAUUGUAAUAACAAAAGUAAAAUAUUAUUUUUAUUAUCGAUUAGACUUUACAAAAUUUUAUCAAUUGAGCUGUACAGGAUCGGGGAAACACCUUGUGUACUCGCCAUCGAGUGAGUAGAUUGAUGAAUAUUUUGAUUUUGAAGUAGACAGGCCCAUGGUAAUUUCCACCAAGUUUGUGAAUGUUUUAUUUCUUCAAUUUUUGUUGCAUUACAACUACACGUACUAUUACAUCUACUCGUAGAUCGUGCUCUCCAUUUUUUACUACCUAAUUUUGGCCAUUUUUUUCUUUUUAGAGUUUGAGUAACUUCAGUUCUUACUUCGCCAUUUAAAAAACAGUAUAAAACAGCCACAAAAAAUCCCUGAAUUCAAUAAAUAAAAUUAAUAAUAUUUAGUAAAGCUUGAAAAAUAUCAAUAAAUUUAUCAAACGUACUUGGAAGGAUGCAAAAAGUUGAUCACCCGUUAACCAAAUGAGCUCUACUCGCUCAUCAAUACCAAUGCUGUAAGAUAAUCCCAAGAAAACAGUAUAAUGCACUCCGAAAAGUGGAACAAGGACAAGAGUACUCCUAAUCCAUCGUCUAGAUUGUUGCGAGGAAGAUAGGAUACUGAAAAAAAAUUUUAAUUGAAUCUUACCCCAGCCAAGUAUGACGUAACCACCAAUGCUCGAAUUAGAAUCAGUAAAUAAUGCAAAAAAGAUUAAAUUAUGCAGACUAUCAUCAAACCAGUAACUUUCUCCAUUUUUGAUAAUUACAUCAGAAGACAAUCCAAUUCCAGAGAUAAAAAGUAUUUCUUUGAGUAACGCCAUGAAAGCUCGUAGCAUAAAUGAUACAAAGAGGUGCAUAUGAAGCAUAUUCCGUGGACAUCGAAGUUUCCUAAAUCCAAUGUUUAAAAUUUCUAAGCAAUUAGAAUGCAGAAGGCUACAAUAAGGGUUGAGAGAGAAACAGCAUACCCAACAGUAGAUAUAAGUUUCACAACGGAUUUACUACGCCAUUUCACCUGUAAAUCAAAUCCAGCGAUAUAAUGGGGACAAGGAAGUGCUGCUAACUCUCCAGGAGCAGUAGAAGGCCAACAAAGAAUACUAUCCCAGAUUUCUGGGCACCAGCCUGCAAAGUACAAGAUGUUCACAUGAACAGGAUCCUUUGAACGUUCUAAGAGUUUUAUGGUUCAAUAGUUUUAAUCGAAAAG